GAUGGUUUGUUUUUAAUGGUGUCCUGGGUUGCGUCGGAGGGUUCUAUGUUUGUUCAGUAAAUUUGACUGCAGAUUAUUUUUUAAACGAGGCACAGUGUAAUGGAGAGUUCGCGAAGAAACAUUUGUUGACAGAUGAAGCAGUCAGCUGUAUUGUAUCUGACAGCAGAUACAUCGCAAAUUAUAAAGUCUACUGUGUGGUGCAGCUCACAACAAGCAGUGGCUGGUUUUUGGGCCAACCUCAGCUGCCAUGAACAGCAGGAAGCUGAGUCGUGAUGGGAAAAGCACCUCCUACUAUCUCUAUCCAUGCAAUGCGACGUCUGUGGGGAUGUGAAACGUGCCAUACUGGAGGGAGUGCAAUCCGCUGCAUUAUUAGUGUGAAGAAUAAUACCACCUGGCUGCAGUUACUGACUAUUCCUGAUUUCCAUUGGCAACAAUGCUGCGUUUUGCAUAGAGAACAUGAAAGAAAGCAUGGGAGGCAGUAAACCAUGAAAUUGGCCCGGUGGUGAAAGAAGCAGCUUUCUUCAAAGAGGUGGGGAGGAGGAAGGGAGGUUUGCUUUGCUGAUGCCCACGUGAAAAAAAAAGAAACACACACACACACACACAAGAAAAACACAUAGGCCUAUGCACUCAAAAGACAAAUGUCACACUGCACAUUGAAUCUCCUUUUAUUUUGUCUGUAACAUAUUAUUGCUGAUAAUGUGUUAAAAAUUCCCUGCAGCUCUUCAACUUUAAAUGCAUAAUCUGGACAUAAACAUUCAUGAAUCAUAUUAUAAAUAUGGUGUGCUUAUACGUGGCUGGAGAAAUGUCAUAAAAAUGUAAUGUUUGAUAUGAAUACUGCUAAUAAGACCAUCAUACAGACAAGGACACUAUUAUAUCUGUCAUCAUGGAGUGAGGAGAGUGGUAGGAAAAAAGAGAAUGCUGCUCAGUUUUAUUUAUUUGUUUUAUUUAUUUAUUUAUUUUUGUAAAGGAAAUUUGGGGGGAACGGAUGCAGUCCAGGUAUGGAGUACUAUGAUAUUGUUUACACCCCCAAGGCACUGACAGAUUCAUGGACUUAUACACCAUCUACUGUUCAUUGUCCAUGAUGACAUAUGUCUUAGUUAUGCAGUAGAGACAUGGCAGAUAAAGUGGUAAUAAUAACUAUGCAUUUGUAUUGCCAAAACAAAAGCACAAUAUGUAAAUUAAUGAUAGCAAUUGGUAACAUUAAAUCAAAUAAUAAUCAAAUAAUAAUAUAAAUAA